CCCCUCUUUAAACAGUUCUUUAAAAAGGAGGGUCCCUUUUUGCUUUGCAGACUUUGCCUCUGGUUUCUCUCAGGACUAGAUGUGAAGAUGGAGGAGUUUGUGGUUGCAUGCUGCACUGCUUGGUGGAUACGUGCCUGGCCUGGCUAUAGUGUUUCCAACUUGCGAAAUCCUGAUUUGGGUCAACAUCUGAACUCCGUCCAUGUGUGUGUAAUUCACGGAUCAAGAGUGCUGAGAAGAGUCUGAGAUGAGGUGUGAAAUGCUACAAAGAUGAAAGAACCUGUCUCUAUUUCUGUGUUAGAGGAAAAGAAUGGUGAAAAGCAUCUCAGUUGAGCACAGGUCGUAAGACAUGUAUGAAUAGAAAUGAGUGAAACAAGAAAUACCUGUCCAUGGCAGGAUUCUAAGGUGGGAUGUGAGAGCUACUGAGAUGUGAGAACUCAGAAAAAGACAUUGGCUAUGUGAAUAGACUGAAGGAAGCAGUCUGGACCACUGGCCACAACAUGGCAGAAAGGCACGCUAGCUUUUGAUCAACCUGACAUAAAUCAAGUUGUGAAUGAACUUGCCUAUUAUUCUGCUAUGAAAUCCACUAUAUAAAUUGAACACGGAUGUUUGGAUCCAGCUCCAUGAUCUGACAUGGCAGAGCUGCAGGAUCUCUGACAUGUAGCAUUGUCUUCUAUUCACUGACUGCUCACUCUCCAAAUCACUUUGGCUUGCUCUUUCCAGCUUGUCAGUGAAUUGUUGCACUGCCUCCUGCAUCAAAAACAGCCUGUGAGCAUACUGUAGCAAGCCAGAUGCCUUGAGGUUGCUUCCUUCCUAUCCUGGGAUAUGUGUCAGCUUCACAUGGUAUACUUUAACAUCUUGAACACCUGGGAGAAUUAGAAUCUGAGAUAAAUUUAAGAUUAAAUUAGCAUCAAGGCUAUUCAUAUAUAUGUAGAUAUAUGUGCAUGUCUGAGUAUUUGUAAAUAUAUGCAUACAUGUUGAUGAG
rnacentral:lncRNA from 1 species